UGUUGCCUCAGUUCAUCUUGCAUAGUUGUGCAGAAAAUUUUCUAGCUAUACCAAGACGCGAACGACCAGCAAUAUAGACUGAACGCUGGUCUAAAAUCGAAGUUCGAAAAUCUGUGACCGAAAAUCUUUGAAAUGGGAUACCAAAUUAACACGGGGCGUCCUCUCCUUCCCUGUCCCGUUAUGCGGUAAGUCGAAGUACGCACGCAAUAGGCAAGGCAGACUGCGGACAUAUAAUAGAAGCUGCUUGACAGCGAGGGCUGCAGCAUUCAUUCCGCUCAGUUUUAAUACAGUUUGAGCCAGCAGGCAUUUUUAAUGGCAUUGGCAAAGAAGGCUCGCAAUGGCCGCUGCCGCAAACAGUUCAAUAUCAGGCCCUUGUCGUGUAUUUAUAUCAAGCCCUGCGUCGUGUAUUUAUAUCAAGCCGUGUGUUUUUGGCAUUUGAUUGCGAUUCGAAUUUGCAAGAACAUUUACUGCUUCUUUUUCAUGAAUAGCCUUAUUUUAAGCAGUGUUUUAUGAUUAUUAAUCGUCCUAGACACUGCUUAAACAGAAACAUACCGUAAACUCUGAUUAAUUUCCCUUUCUCCAAAAGCAGACACCUUGCUGAUAAACGUAUAUCGGGCAAAGCUCUACUGUCCUUGGCUAAACUUUCUGUUUGUUGGGCUGCUGAGCACGAGGUCGCGGGAUCGAAUUCCGGCCACGGCGGCCGCAUUUCGAUGGGGGCGAAAUGCGAAAAACACCCGUGUGUUUAGAUUUAGGUGCACGUUAAAGAACCUCAGGUGGUCCAAAUUUCCGGAGUCCCCCACUACGGCGUGCCUCAUAAUCAGAUCGUUGUUUUGGCACGUAAAACCCCAUAAUUAAAUUAAAUUUCUUUCUGUUUCAGAUUGAUGUCUUCAACUCCGUCAUGGAAGUUUUGAAAGAAUAUAAUGAAAGCAACCCGACAAGACGCAUAAGCGUUUCUCAGAUGGAAAUGAAUUCUGGUCGUUUUUGUGAAAUUCUGGCGCUGCUCAGGCCUCUUGCAGACGCCACCGACCGGUUGCAAUCGGACGGAGUGACGUCAUGUGACUUACAUAUCAGCAUUAGCUCAUGCUACGCGCAAAUCAACAAUUGCCGGACUUCUGAGUAAGUAUACUAUUCUGGGCACGAAAAAGUCGUAGGGAGGAAAUAAAAAUCAGGGUUCUUAAUGUUCAUAAUCCUUGCGUAGGAAGCGACUUUUCUUGACAUGUGAAUGGUUCGCGAUUAAUUACGCAUACCCGCGCGAUUUCACUAACUUUCCUCUCAUUUCGUCGCUUCGUCCUCUUGGCCAUGAACUGUGAGAAACAAGAUUAGCGUUAACAUUUCGAUAUCCGAUCAACAGGUUAAAGUAUGAAUAAGUGCAGCUAAUACAGUUUUGAAUCGUAUAACGGGAUCACGAAUAGAAACAGCCUUCCUUUCCUUUUACAGGCUAUUUGGCUCUCUAAAGCCUAGAUACCUGAUCAAUAGGGUUAUUGACCUACAAAGUCGCGGGUCGCGUUUUCUUUGUAAUAAUUGAUUGCCAUUGUCUGGCUAUAUACCAAGCGAUACCAGCAGUUUUUUUAGAUAACCUAACGUUGCAGUAGUAGUACAUAUUUUUAUCUCAGGUCAGUAAUUAUUUAUUCCCUUUCAGAUUUCCUGACCUAAAAAACACGGUCCUGGAGGAACUGAACAACCGCUUCGAAGAAGUGCUCUACGACGACUUUUUUGUGGCUUCAAGUGUGCUCCAUCCACGACAAAAACUCCGAGUAUUUAAUGCAUCGGUUGCCCCAGGGCUUGCAAAGCCCACAGCAAACGAAGCAACAGCCGCUGUUGAAAGGCUACUUGAAGCCCACGUGCAGGGCCCAGCAGCCACUGCUGACAAAGCGUCCUCGCAACAGGCUCAAUGUGACGUGGGGCAGGAAGGGAUAGGCGACGCACGCGACCCCUACGCACUAUUGGAUGUCGUUUGUCCAACAGCACAUCACGAGCAAUCGGAACUCGACAGGUACCUGAGCAGCACGUCGACAGCGGACGACGUGUUAGCUUAUUGGCAUAAGCAUGGGGAAACAUUCCCACGUCUCGCAAAGCUCGCAGUUGUGUGCUUGGGCGUGCCCGCGUCAUCUGGAGCUGUUGAAAGGCUGUUCUCAACGGCAGGGGCACUCCAACGAGCAAGGAGAGCUUCGCUCGCUCCACGCACCGUGGAACAGCUGGUGC